rnacentral:rRNA from 1 species
UUGACCUCGGAUCAGGUAGGAAUAUCCCGCUGAACUUAAGCAUAUC